rnacentral:RNase_P_RNA from 1 species
GAAGUUAGUCGGGCAAUCGCUGCAGAGUUAGUAAUUUGUAGAGGAAAGUCCGGGCUCCAAAGAGCGUGGUGCCGGUUAACGACCGGACGUUGUGAGACGAUGGAUAGUGCAGCAGAAAACGUACCGCCUUGGGUUAUAGGCUUGAGGUAAGGGUGAAAAGGUGAGGUAAGAGCUCACCGCGAUCUUGGUAACAAGGUUGGCAUUGUAAACCCCACCCGGAGCAAGACCAAAUAGGGGGGCAUUGGCGUGGCUCGCGUCGUCCUCGGGUAGGUUGCUAGAAUCAAAGGGUAACUUUUGAUCCAGAUGAAUGAUUGCCUCUCGACUUAUUGUCGAAAGACAGAACCCGGCUUACAGACUGACUUCCAAA